CCUACUUUCGCUUUGCCUGCCUGGGACAGAACAAAUGGGCUAAAUGAGACCUACUUAGCACAAAAAGCAAUUUUGUCUCCGAAAAAGAGGCACCCACGCUGCACUUUGUUCAGCUCAGCCCAGCAAGGCAGAGUCAGCGGGUGAGCAGCCAGUUGAGACUACUGAUGCUGCUCAAAGAGGUUGCUUGUUGAGAAGGGACUGGAGGAGGUUCCAGAGCAAGGAGAUGAAGCCCAGACCUCUGGUAACAAAACAUUUGGAUGAUCACUGCACCUUGAGAGAACAUCAGAUUGGACAGCCCCUGCCUGUGCUGGUGCAACUCUUGAUGGUGGGAUUUGGGUCUUGAAUGUUGGCAAAUGGCUGCAAAUACCUGUCAAAGUUCCAGGGCUGUUUUCUGCAGGAGAACAACCGAAGUGGGUGCUCUCUUGGCAGUUGUUUUGUGCAAUUUGAUUUCCUAGGUAAAAACCCCGAGUUUCUGUCUUCAUUACUGGCCAGGUGCUUCCACAUAGGGCUAUUAAAACCUUAAAAGACUCUCUUUGAGGCUGAUCAAUACAAAAUGAAAUGGAGGAAAAUUGCUUAUUGCUGAGGAAAAUGCAGCACUGUGAAUAACAAGGAAGAAAAUGCAGCUGAAGGCUCAAAUUGAAUCUCUAUUAUGCCUGUGAUUAAAGAUAAUGUGCUACGAAAGGGGACUACUGCAGGGUUUCUGUGCUAGGUUGGAUGGCUGAAAACGUGGUGAUUGUGGUUGCUGGGCCCUCAUUGGCCUGGGUUUGAUAUCUAAAUUACAGGGCUAUUACCCAGAAAUGGGUUUGAUGCUCUGUCUGAAAGGCAGAGCCCCUCCACAGCCCAGCUGGCUGGGGGCACUCGUCCUGCCUGGGGCUUGGAAACUCUGUCUUUCUAUUUUCCUUGGCAACUCAGGGAAAUCUUUGCUGCUCUGCAUCCUCAGCCCCCACAAGCCUGAUCUGGGAAUUGCUGCUAUCAGCUGCCUGCAGCGUCUGCUCCUGGCUUAUCUGCUCCUGGCACAGAAAGGACACUGACAACUGCUAAUCAACCUCGAGCACACAGAUCUCCCUGAAACAUCAACAGCAUCUGCACUGCUCCCUCUUCUUUAUUUCCUUCUCUUCUGACUGGAGGGGGGAACAUCCUUUGCUGUCUGCAAUCUCCUAAGCUUAAAAAUUGGAGCUCAGUUAAUUAUGCUUAUUGAGCUGCUGCAUCUGCAUUUAGCUGAACCUUAAUUUGAAGAACAUAGCAAUUUGAAUUUGGAGGUUUAUGUUGCCCACCUAGCUUUUAACACUAAGGCCAAGUCUCCCUCUGGCACCAGUAACACCAGUGUUUGUACUGGUGCUGGGUGGUGUAGCCCUGCUUCCAGCCCCUUUAAUUUUGGGGACCUGCUGCAAAUAUUCUUUCCUUGGAGCUCCAACCUGGUUGCUGGCUGGUUGGUGUCACCUCUGGGCCAGUCUCUCUGUUAGUGCCAAGGGGUUUUUUGGUGACCCACAGAACCCAGUCAGGACCACUGUAGGUGCCAAGGGGCUUGUGUGACAAACUGCUCCUCAGCAAAGGGCAAGAGGUAAGAUGCUCUGGUGACAUCUACAUCCUCUGCAGGAGGACAGGCCAAGCUGGGAUUUGGUCUGUCACCCACACAGGUAUCUUGGAGCUGACCAGCUCUCUGACCUUGGUGUUUCUUGGAUUAUUCAGUAAAAAAACCCACACAAACAAAACUCAGAUUUUCUUUCAGUAUUCCUGUCACCACUCCUAUUUCUCCUGCUGCUCUGGCUGUCAUUGUCUGUGACAUUAAUAUCCCGGUUGUCAUCAGUGCACCAAAACAUGGUGGGAACAGCAAGUGUUUCUGCAGCAGUGUGGAGGCAGGAGAGGACUCAGGGUCCUGGGGACUGGAGGCAUCUAGGGAGGGUUUGGCUGAAGAACUUAAACAUGUGUUUGGUGUUUCUGUGACUUUACUGAAAAAUCACAUAAUGUGUGCAAGGCAAACCUCCAGCUCUAAGUUCUGUGCAAUCUUUACUGCCCUUAAAGGAGGAAAAGAGAUCUGAAGAGGAAGGUGCAGCUGGUGGCUCCAGGGCGGAAAGGCUCCAGUCCCUGGUAGUGCAGCACUCUCCAGCAUGGCUUGGGUGAUGUUCAGCUCCGUGGUGAGGACAAGGCAAUGACUCCUGCCUUGUUCUGUGGCUCUUGUAUGGCUGGUCCAUGUGCAUUUCCCAACAGCUCUCUGUGGCUGAUGGAAAAGCCAGUGUGUGUCCACAGAGAGGUUCAGCCUGCCGUGUUUGGUUAUUUAAUGUGAGCAAACAAGGUCAAAGAUAAAAUAACUCCCCCUCCCCCUUUCACAAUCCUUCUACUGUAAUUUUUUAAGAGCCAGCCAUGUGUGAGAUCAGGCAAAGGUUAAAUUGUCAGGCUCCCUUAGCAAAGGAGAGGUUUGACUCCUAGCCUGAGGCAGGGUUAUCUACCCUGAGCUGUUACAUUGCUUGUUAGAUCCUGCUUUUUCAUAGCCAAAACACAUCCACAGCACAGCCCCACUGGGUGCUGGGUUUAGUCAGGCUGUGUUAACCUGGUCUAACCCACCCUGGUAACCUGUAACCCAGAACUCAUCCCCCUGCAGGCUGCUGGGGGCUGGCAUUGCACUUUUAUUGGCUCGUGCCAGGAAGAAGUGUUUUGUUUCUCUGCCUCCAGUGUCUGUGUAAUGAAACUGGAGGAGAAAGAAGAGGCUCCAGCUCACCUGGGAUGUGCAGGGAAAUGGUGCCCUUGGGGAUGGGCUGCUCUCUAUGGAGUAUUUCAAACUCCCACUGAGGCUCACCUCUGCUGCUAAAUGUGGGGAAGGGAGAGACAGAGAGAUUCACUCUGCACGUCAGAGGUGUGUCCCAGUUCCUGAGAGCAGACGGCUGGGGAGGAGGAGGGGGAAGCACGGCUCUUAUGUAGGUGAGGGCUUGAAUGCCACCGGUGACGGCAGCAGAAAUCCCUGGGAUGCAGCAAUGGGAAUGGGGGAUGGGAACUUCUGGAAUCAGCUCCUUGGGAUGCUGCUGCUGCUGUGCUACUGCUCAUACAGCCACAGGGGUUGUGAGGAUCACAGAACAGCUGUGAGCAAGCAGCACAGGAACAGGGGUCACCUGCAUCGAGCUUCAGAGCAAACACCUCACAGGGAUGAAGGAGGCAGUUCACACCGCUCGAAGAAUCGUGAAAGAAAAUUACUUUCAGGCUUUGCAACAGUUUCAGAAAGGUGAAAAUGAAUCUGUGCCUCUCCCCAGCUCUGUGCUGUAAACUGACACCUUUAACAAUGUGCUUUUACUCCUGGUGCUGUCACAGCUGAGGCCCCUCCACCUCUCCCUGCGUGUCAUGCCUGUGCUCAGGUCCAUGUGGGAGAGCAUUUGCCGCCUCAGCAAACGAGACAGCUCUGCUGGCAGGGGAGGGAGCUUUGUGCUUUUACAGGUGCUGUAAAUUUGAUGAUGACCCUGGCCAGGAGUGAGAAGAGGACCCUGCCUUGUUUCCAGUGACAGGUUUCACUUUGUGGGCAGUGACCCUCCAUCCUCAGCACAUCCCCAUGUGUGCUCCUCAUGCAGUGCUUGGGGUCUGACCAAAGCCAGCCCUCAGCCCCAUGCCCUGGUGAUGGUUCUGCAGACAGCCUGUGUUGUUGCAGGGCACCACCUGAGCUCCUGGAGACACGGAAUUUUCUUCUCUGACACCUCCCUGCUUCAGAACUGGGCUUUCAAGGAGUUUAUUUGGUGACAGAGCUACAGCGACGGAACUGGAACAAGGAAGUUUAAUCUCUGCCCUCCUGCACAAGUGGGAAAUUUGGAAUCCCAGGCUGCCCUUUCCCCACCAGGGGUUUGUGCUGUGUACAGAAGUUUUUGGCAAAAGUGUCCAGCUUGAAUGGCCAAAGACCCUUGCUGUGGCAGGAAGGAUGUCAGCUCUUCCUGGGAAAACUGAGGCUGCUGUGCCCAGCCUGGCUUAAAUUAAUGGAAAGGCAGAGAAUCUGUCCCUGUAAUACACAUGAAAGAGACCCUCAGGCUCCUGACAGAGCAGAGACUGGGUGAGAACCACCCUGCCUGCACCUUGCCUAGUCCUGGGCCCAUUUCUGCCUCUUAUGGAGCCCAGCAUCCCACCAGGGAGUGACCAAAAUCCCCACAGGAUGUUUGCUGCAGUGGUAACCGGUGAAAUUUCCAUUUUGCUGAAAUAUUUGCUGUGUGUCAGUGUGAGCUGCACAGCUGGGCACUGUGCUGCUGUGUCACCAAAAAUACAUCCUCUGCUGUUUCCAGCUUAUGGUCUGUUCCCUCCUUAUUGUCUCCUGGCAAGGGGUAAUUUCAG